GUGAAACAACGAACGUUAUUUUUAUCUAUAUACAUAAAUAUCAUAGGAAUUCGAAGGACUGCAAAUAUUUAAAAAAUUUUUUAAUUUUUCACAAAAUUCAUUUCAUUUUAUUUACAUUGUGCUAUUUUUUUCAUUUUUGUUUAUAUAUUAUUUUUAUUGAGAUUCUAAUUUCGACAACCUAGCAUUCUUAUGUAGCCCAAGUAAAACUGAUGCACUAUUUUUGCACAUCGAAACAAAAAGAGGUUAUUGAACGUGAAGCAAUAAUAUUUAUAAAUUCUUUGAGACGGCCUGGAAAGUGGAAAGAGCGAUGAAUCUAGAAACUUCUGGAUCGUCGAAGGUUUGGGCGCAUUGCCAGACCCCUACAUCUCCUCCCCGUUUGCUCCGCGCUCGUCGGAAACGACGAGAACGUUCUCGGGCGUCCAACGAGUAUUUUCGGUACGUCGUGUAACCUCGUUACGGUUUUUGUUGCUCGCAAAUUCUCAAUGCGUUUUUUUACACAUGCAAACUUCUUACCGAAGUUCUGUAUCCAGAACGUACGUUUGAUGAUACUUUUAAGCAGUGCUAUGCAAAUACGUAUUCCGGUACUUAAAAAAUUCAUAACCUCAAGAACUACGGCUGGAUACCAUUAGUCAUUUUUACGAUAUUUUUUUCGAAUUCCAAAUCAAUUUCUAGAUACUAAUCCGUAAUUUCGUAAUAUUUCGUAAUAUAACCUAGUAUGCCUUAAAACUUGAAAAUUUUUUUAUAAAUUUGGAUUUAUUCCAGACUUAAUAAAAAAUUUCUAGAAAACUGAAAGAGGGAAGAGUUAAUUUUUCGCAAAGUAGAAUGCUUUUCAUGGUUUUUGUUACCAAAUGUUAAACGAAAGGUCGGAAUAGCCAAUAACAAAAUAAUUGUAAAGGAGUUUCAGACAUGAUACGAUUGAAAAAAAUGGGACUAGAAAUAGAAACCAGAGAAAUGUUAUUAUAUCCUUAGAACUUUCCAGGUGAAACUCUGCAAAUAAAGUUGGAAAUGAUUUGGAGCCUCAGAUAAUUGAUAAAAAUGUUCUUUGGAUGGCCGUUGUUAAUUGGCCUGUCCAACCUAUUUCAAGGUCUACUAACUACACGACUAAGCUGGCACGCUGCGUACUUGCAACAGUUGGUUAUUCAGGACUGGGACCAGUUGGGAUCGUUGAUGUGUUUUUCACCGCCGGAUCGCCAAUGGAAACUGCCAGGAUUCCUUAGUACCAGCAUAUCAGGAGAUUUGUCGUAAUACGUCAAUUGGUGACGUUCGAAUGCCUCAUUUCCAAGAAUAUCAAGGGUCACUCCACCGAUUCGCGAAUGCGUUCCCUGUAAAGAUGAACGACGAUCGAUAUACCUUGAAACAUUUAUCGACAACCUCAUCAGCAAGGCCAACAGCUUCGAAGAUUUGGGCUCCUUUGUAAGAUUGGAGGGUGGAUAUGCCCAUCUUCGCCAUAACUUUUGCAAUACCACGUUCCAUGGCUUCACUAUAAUUCUGUAAAAAUUUCAAAUUGAAUGAACUGAUACAGACAAAUGUUCUAAGAUCUGACACAGAGGACAGGUCGAUAAAAUGAAAUUGGAAGAAAAAAAAGGACGUACCUUGUACAUAAUCUCAUCAUUGAACGAUUGGUCCAAGACCCCCUCUUCCCGGAGAUUCCUCGCCAUCUCGAAAACGAGAUAAGGACAAAUGGCAUCUGCGCCGUAACCCAGAAGAACGCACAUGUGAUGAACUUCUCGAGCUUCACCAGUUUCGGCAAUUAAGCCGACUUUCAUACGCUGACGUUCUUCGAUGAGGAAAUGAUGGACCGAGCCAAGAGCGAGCAUGGUGCUUACAGGAACCCUAAAAACACAUUUGUAUCAGUACUAUGAACAUUGAAAUGAUUCAAUUAUAAACUGAAUAACCAAGCGAUCAUCA